AUUGAACGCUGGCGGCAUGCUUUACACAUGCAAGUCGAACGGUAACAGGCCUUCGGGCGCUGACGAGUGGCGAACGGGUGAGUAACGCAUCGGAACGUGCCCAGUCGUGGGGGAUAACGCAGCGAAAGCUGUGCUAAUACCGCAUACGAUCUGCGGAUGAAAGCGGGGGACCUUAGGGCCUCGCGCGAUUGGAGCGGCCGAUGUCAGAUUAGGUAGUUGGUGGGGUAAAGGCCCACCAAGCCAACGAUCUGUAGCUGGUCUGAGAGGACGAUCAGCCACACUGGGACUGAGACACGGCCCAGACUCCUACGGGAGGCAGCAGUGGGGAAUUUUGGACAAUGGGGGGCAACCCUGAUCCAGCAAUGCCGCGUGAGUGAAGAAGGCCUUCGGGUUGUUAAAGGACUCUUUUGUCUAGGAAGAAACAGCAGCUCUAACACAGUCUGCGAAUGACGGUACCUGAAGAAU
rnacentral:rRNA from 1 species